UACGUAGGGGGCAAGCGUUGUCCGGAUUUAUUGGGCGUAAAGCGCUCGCAGGUGGUUCGAUGCGUCGUGCGUGAAAGACCCCGGCUCAACUGGGGGGUGUCGUGCGAUACGGUCGGACUGGAGGCCAGUAGGGGGAUGCGGAAUUCCUGGUGUAGCGGUGAAAUGCGCAGAUAUCAGGAGGAACACCGGUGGCGAAGGCGGUUCUCUGGGCCUGUACUGACGCUGAGGAACGAGAGCGUGGGGAGCGAACAGG
rnacentral:rRNA from 1 species